UGUUUUUCAGCAGGCCGAGCUGUGAUGUUUUGCUCAUGUCUCGAGCUAGAAAGGUCCGUGAUGUUUUUCUCAUGUCUCGAGUUAGAAAGGUCCCAUGAGGCUGAGAUUUUGUGAGAAUUCAGACUAUAAAAUUCCUCACAACUUUGGUAUUCAUCAAACAUCUCAGAGAUAAAAGGAAACUAGGGUAAAAAUUUGAACACAUUUCUGUUGCAGAAAGUUGGUCAUCAACAUGCCGG
rnacentral:lncRNA from 1 species